UACGAAGGGGGCUAGCGUUGCUCGGAAUCACUGGGCGUAAAGGGUGCGUAGGCGGAUUGCUAAGUCAGGGGUGAAAUCCUGGAGCUCAACUCCAGAACUGCCUUUGAUACUGAAGAUCUUGAGUUCGGGAGAGGUGAGUGGAACUGCGAGUGUAGAGGUGAAAUUCGUAGAUAUUCACAAGAACACCAGUGGCGAAGGCGGCUCACUGGCCCGAUACUGACGCUGAGGCACGAAAGCGUGGGGAGCAAACAGG
rnacentral:rRNA from 1 species